GUUUCACAAUUUCUGCCAUUUAUAAAAUUAUGUUAGGAGGCGGAGCUUAUCACAGGCCUGUAGAGCACAGGCUCAGCAAACAGCAUCACAGAUCAACAUGUUCACUUGUCUACUUAUACUGCUAACUUUAACUCAAGGAAACAGAGCUAAAGAUGUAAUCACCCCAUACAGUGAUGCAGUAUUUUCCACUGAGACUGAGAGAGUCAAACUCUCUUGUAACUACACUGGUUCUGUUGAGAGUCUUCACUGGUAUCGACAAUAUGAAGGUUCAGCACCACAGUUCCUCAUCCUGGAUUAUUCAGGAUAUGUUACUCAUGCAGAUCCUCCAGUUCCUGGAAUAUCCAUCAGUCCCAGAAAAGAAGAGAACAGUGUUGAUCUGAUCAUCUCCUCUGCUGCUGAAUCAGACUCUGCUCUGUAUUUCUGUGCUCUGCAGCCCACAGUGACAGGAAACACUCAACACACCGUACAAGAACCUGAAACACUAUUAAGUUGCAAAUUUGCAUCUUACAUGUGA